rnacentral:tRNA from 1 species
GGAGAGGUGGCCGAGUGGUUGAAGGCGGCGGCCUCGAAAGCCGUUGUGCUCCUUUUGGGGCACCGUGGGUUCGAAUCCCACCCUCUCCGCCA